GACAGAGGGUGCAAACGUUGUUCGGAAUUACUGGGCGUAAAGCGUGUGUAGGCGGUCUGCUAAGUCGGGUGUGAAAGCCCUGGGCUCAACCCAGGAAGUGCACUCGAAACUGGCAGGCUAGAGUACUGGAGAGGUUGGUGGAAUUCUCGGUGUAGAGGUGAAAUUCGUAGAUAUCGAGAGGAACACCGGUGGCGAAGGCGGCCAACUGGACAGAUACUGACGCUGAGACAUGAAAGCGUGGGGAGCAAACAGG
rnacentral:rRNA from 1 species